AGUGGCGAACGGGUGAGUAACGCGUAGGCAAUCUGCUUUCUAGAUGGGGACAACAUCCCGAAAGGGGUGCUAAUACCGAAUGUUGUAUGAUCUUCGCAUGGAGAUGAUACUAAAGGUGGCCUCUGAAUAUGCUACCGCUAGAAGAUGAGCCUGCGUCUGAUUAGCUAGUUGGAGGGGUAACGGCCCACCAAGGCUUCGAUCAGUAGCCGGUCUGAGAGGAUGAACGGCCACACUGGGACUGAGACACGGCCCAGACUCCUACGGGAGGCAGCAGUGGGGAAUCUUCCGCAAUGGACGAAAGUCUGACGGAGCAACGCCGCGUGAGUGAAGAAGGUUUUCGGAUCGUAAAGCUCUUUCGUUAGGGACGAACGUGCUCUUUGUGAAUAAUGAGGAGUAAUGACGGUACCUAAAUAAGAAGCCACGGCUAACUACGUGCCAGCAGCCGCGGUAAUACGUAGGUGGCAAGCGUUGUCCGGAAUUAUUGGGCGUAAAGCGCGCGCAGGCGGGAUAUCAAGUCUGUCUUAAAAGUGCGAGGCUCAACCUCGUGAGGGGACAGAAACUGGUAUUCUUGAGUGUCGGAGAGGAAAGUGGAAUUCCAAGUGUAGCGGUGAAAUGCGUAGAGAUUUGGAAGAACACCAGUGGCGAAGGCGACUUUCUGGACGAUGUCUGACGCUGAGGCGCGAAAGCUAGGGGAGCGAACGGGAUUAGAUACCCCGGUAGUCCUAGCC
rnacentral:rRNA from 1 species